GUCCCGUUCGUCUAGAGGCCUAGGACCCCGCCCUUUCACGGCGGUAACAGGGGUUCGAAUCCCCUACGGGAUACCA
rnacentral:tRNA from 10 species